AUGAAUUACCAGCCACUUAUCUCCGCGCUUGAUGUCCGCACCGAGCCCAUCACGGUCGAUCUCCUUUUCUCUCUAGUGGCCAAUUUUGAUCAACGGGUCGAACUAUACCACGGCAACAACGGAGACGGGUUCAAAUCCUCAGCGAACUCUGCUUCCCGAGGCAGGCGGGGAGGCAGAGGUGGCUAUUGCAACCAGAAG
rnacentral:rRNA from 1 species